rnacentral:rRNA from 1 species
AAGUCGUAACAAGGUUUCCGUAGGUGAACCUGCGGAAGGAUCAUUAUUGAUUGCGAAUCGUUGUCUUCAGUGCUGGCCAGCUCUGGCAAGUGCACGUUGGCGGCUUUUCAUCCAAUACCCCUGUGAACCUUUGGCCUCUUGCUAGCUUUGGCUGGCAGAGGAUUUUUACACCCACUCGAAUGUAAUGAAAUUAUUGUUGUGCGCAAGCACUACUGUACAACUUUCAACAACGGAUCUCUUGGCUCUCGCAUCGAUGAAGAACGCAGCGAAAUGCGAUAAGUAAUGUGAAUUGCAGAAUUCAGUGAAUCAUCGAAUCUUUGAACGCACCUUGCACCCUUUGGCAUUCCGAAGGGUAUGCUCGUUUGAGUGUCAUUGUACUCUCACACUUCUGAUCCUUUUGGAUUGGGAGCGGUGGACUUGGGUGUUGCUGCUGCUUUACUGCGGCUCACCUCAAAUGCAUUAGUGCAACUCUUGGUUGGACAUAGUACGGCGUGAUAAGUAUCUUCGCCGGCACCUCGCAAGAGGGUGGCUGAUCAGGAGCUCUGUGCUCUCCAACUGUCUUCGGACAACAACUGACAACUUGACCUCAAAUCGAGUAGGACCACCCGCUGAACUUAA